GUGAAUGUGCCCUAAGGCCUCUCAAGGUUUUCUUUUUCUUCCUCUUCUUUGCUUUUAAUUUUUUUCUGUGAAGAAUCAAGAACAAUUUUUAUGUGCUAAUUAAAGAAAAGGGGAAUAAGAGCCGUAAUUUUUACUCGUCAUCGAUGGACUUCUAAUUUUGGAAGCAAAUACGUUAUACAGGGAUUUGCAUUCCUCAUUGUUAUCUCUGGCGGGAAGAUUCGUUGGAGCUCAACAAACUUUGUGAAGUCGUGAAAGUUUCUUCCCGGAAAUAUGUUUAUCGGCGACGAAUUUCAAGCCGGUGUGUUGAAUUUUCCCAAAUUUGAUUUUGGUGUUUUAUGGAUAGCUUAUGCGUCACCGUUUUGAAACCCUAGGCCAUCUCAGUGAUGUGAUUCUACUUAAUUAUCCGUAUUUUCUUCAAUUGGUGAAUUUUGUGUAGUUUAAUAAAUGCGAAUUUUCAACCUUAACUCAUACACGGGGUUAUUUUCUGGUUAGCUGGGGAACAACGCCCUUUUUUUUCGUUUUUGUUUUCCGAUUUUUUGUUUGUUUCUAUCAAAUUGUAAACUAAAGUAAUGACCUUUCUUCCCUUGAAAUCAAACUCGCUCAGUAAGAUGAUAUGUUUUUAAUUGUAUCAGAGAGUUGCUGAUGUUAUGUCUUUAUUAUUAUUAUUUUUUUAAAUAGAUAUUGAAGUGUUACCGAAUAUAUUGCAGAGGAAGUAUGCACUAUUAUGAGGAAGUUUACAAGGUAAAUGUCUCUUAUUUAGGUUGGUUGUUGGAAUUGCAUCUCUAAUUUCUCAGAUACAGGUAUAACCGUACAUGUAAUAAUGUAAUUAAGCCGUUUGCAUCCCUUUUGUAUUAUUUGGGCAGUACUUCGAUAUUUUAACUGUUGAGUAUUUGGGGUCUCUUUUUUUCUUGAAA
rnacentral:lncRNA from 1 species